rnacentral:rRNA from 1 species
CAGGGAAUCUUGUCCAAUGGGCGAAAGCCUGAGACAGCGACGCCGCGUGGGGGAUGAAGGCCUCAGGGUUGUAAAGCGCUUUCGGCGGGGAAGAUGAUGACGGUACCCGCAGAAGAAGCCCCGGCUAACUCCGUGCCAGCAGCCGCGGUGAUACGGAGGGGGCAAGCGUUGUUCGGAAUUACUGGGCGUAAAGGGCGCGUAGGCGGGCGACUAAGUCAGAGGUGAAAGGCCUGGGCUCAACCUGGGAACUGCCUUUGAAACUAGUUGUCUAGAGUCCGGAAGAGGAUGGCGGAAUUCCCAGUGUAGAGGUGAAAUUCGUAGAUAUUGGGAAGAACACCAGUGGCGAAGGCGGCCAUCUGGUCCGGUACUGACGCUGAGGCGCGAAAGCGUGGGGAGCAAACAGGAUUAGAUACCCUGGUAGUCCACGCCGUAAACGAUGUGUGCUAGCCGUUGGGAAACCUAGUUUCUCGGUGGCGCAGCUAACGCGAUAAGCACACCGCCUGGGGAGUACGGUCGCAAGAUUA